rnacentral:rRNA from 1 species
UACGUAGGGACCGAGCGUUGUCCGGAUUCAUUGGGCGUAAAGAGCUCGUAGGCGGCUGCUCAAGUCGAAUGUGAAAACUCGAGGCUCAACCUCGAGCCUGCAUUCGAUACUGGGCGGCUAGAGUCUGGUAGGGGGAUCUGGAAUUCCUGGUGUAGCGGUGGAAUGCGCAGAUAUCAGGAGGAACACCGGUGGCGAAGGCGGCAUCCUGGACCAAUAUUGACGCUGAGGAGCGAAAGCCAGGGGAGCAAACGGG